rnacentral:rRNA from 1 species
AUACGGGGGGUGCAAGCGUUAAUCGGAAUUACUGGGCGUAAAGCGCGCGUAGGCGGUUUGCUCAGUCGGAUGUGAAAGCCCAGGGCUCAACCUUGGAACUGCAUACGAUACUGGCAAACUAGAGUGUGAGAGAGGAUAGUGGAAUUUCCGGUGUAGCGGUGAAAUGCGUAGAUAUCGGAAGGAACAUCAGUGGCGAAGGCGACUGUCUGGCUCAACACUGACGCUGAGGUGCGAAAGCGUGGGUAGCAAACAGGAUUAGAUACCCUAGUAGUCC